rnacentral:SRP_RNA from 1 species
GCCAGGUGUGCUGGUGUUUGCCUGUAGUCCAACUACUCAGGAGGCUGAGGCAGAAGGAUUGCUUGAGCCCAGGAGUUCUGGGCUGUAGUGUGCUAUGCCGAUCAGGUGUCUGCACUAAGUUCAGCAUCAGUAUGGUGACCUCCCAGGAGCUGGAGACUGCUGGGCUGUCUAAGGAGGGGUUAAUUGACCAGUCUGGAAAAAAAAAGGUCAAAACUUCCAUGCUGAUCAGUAGUGGGAUUGCCCCUAUGAAUAGCCACUGCAUUCCAGCCUGGGCAACAUAGUGGGACUCUGUUUUGU